GUUCCCCUCUUGUUGUAUGCGUCACUUCAUUUACAAACUAAGACAGCGGAUUCCUACAGAAACUCAAGCACCCACGCAAUAAAUAAGCUAUGUAGCAAAAAAUACAUUUUACCGUGACUCGAGUGUUGUAAACCUGAAACCGAAACUUAACCGCUUGGAGCUCCAGUGGAAUACGCGAACAACCGGGCCAGCACUAAACUUGGAUAUUUCUGGAGGUAAAGGCCCCGGAUGAUGUCGAGGCAGCAUUGGAGAAACUGAACAUUUUUACACAUGUGAAACUGUUCGUCCACAUCCUUUUAAAGGUGUGAAUAAACAACUCAUGAGAGAACCCUUGUAGUAGUAUUUUGGUAUCUGUAAGUACGUCUCUUCUCUUCAGCUGAAACCCAUAAGCAGCUAUGAAGUACCACCUGUUCCUGCUCCUCUUCGUCAUUAUGGGAAACUCAGUAAGUCAACAUCUCAGCUCUGUGACUAAAGUGUCUGUACAGAGAGGACAAACCAUCACCAUUCCAUUCCUCUAUAAUCAGAUGUACAAACAUCACAAGAAAUAUUGCUUGCGAGGAACUACACCCUAUGGAGAUUGGGAUGCUGAAGUACAGAAUGGAAAUAAGAGGAGCACUCGGGUCAUGUCUAUGUCUGAUGAUGUCACCAACAACAUUUUCACUCUGACUGUGAGGAUGGAUGUUGGAGUUCCGUAUCCUAAUGUGAAUGUUAAGAGAUAUCAUUGUUGGGUUGCAAGAGGUGGACCAUCUAAUGAGAAAGCGUUCAGUUUGUUAGACAC